AUGAACGCUGGCGGCGUGCCUAAUCCCUGCAAGUCGCGCGAACAGACGAGGAGCUUGCUCCUCUGACGUUAGCGGCGGACGGGUGAGUAACACGUGGAUAACCUACCUAUAAGACUGGGAUAACUUCGGGAAACCGGAGCUAAUACCGGAUAAUAUAUUGAACCGCAUGGUUCAAUAGUGAAAGACGGUUUUGCUGUCACUUAUAGAUGGAUCCGCGCCGCAUUAGCUAGUUGGUAAGGUAACGGCUUACCAAGGCAACGAUGCGUAGCCGACCUGAGAGGGUGAUCAGCCACACUGGAACUGAGACACGGUCCAGACUCCUACGGGAGGCAGCAGUAGGGAAUCUUCCGCAAUGGGCGAAAGCCUGACGGAGCAACGCCGCGUGAGUGAUGAAGGUCUUCGGAUCGUAAAACUCUGUUAUUAGGGAAGAACAAAUGUGUAAGUAACUAUGCACGUCUUGACGGUACCUAAUCAGAAAGCCACGGCUAACUACGUG
rnacentral:rRNA from 1 species